AAAUGACCAAAUAAGGUCAUUUAACGCUUUCGCGCUGUCGACCGAAGCGACGCGUUGACUGACGACGGUCGGACUCCGAUUUUCGCGCCUCUCGAAGACGGUCGUGCACUUCAAACGCAACGCAUUAAAAGUUUAAAGACAGUUGUCAUUACACAUUACGCAGAACUAAAAACUUAGUGAAAUCCUAUAGUGGUGCCAUUCCAGCGUGGACAUCUAGAAGCCAUUAACGACGCCCGCAGAAAGCCGAAAAGCAAGGUACCAAGUAAAAAGAGCCCUAUUACUAAAGGAAGAUGACCGGCUCGACAAGAGAUACAAAAUCGGCUACCUCUUUAGCCGGUUGAGGCAAAUCUUGUUUGAGCAGCAGAAGAUGGCGGCCUACAACGAGGCGAUGGAAUUCGGUUGGUUCCGUACCGCUGAAACCACGCUCAAGCUUUACGAGAAGAUGGUACGAUGCGACGUGGACAUCAGGGACACCGUGCGCCUCAUAAAGGAAUUGCACGCGUCACCAGUUACUGGACGCGCCACGCCUCGGACGAAGCCUACUCCAAAGUGGUAGUACGAUAACACAUUCGCUGCCGUACGAGGUCAAUUGACCUCGAAGGAGAGGUCAAUAGACCUCGUACGUCUAGCAUCUUCAAGAGUUAG
rnacentral:lncRNA from 1 species